rnacentral:rRNA from 1 species
UACGUAGGUGGCAAGCGUUGUCCGGAAUUACUGGGUGUAAAGCGCGUGUAGGCGGGAGGCCAAGUCUGCUGUGAAAUCGCCCGGCUCAACUGGGCGGGGUCGGUGGAAACUGGUCACCUGGAGGACGGUAGAGGCGAGUGGAAUUCCCGGUGUAGUGGUGAAAUGCGUAGAGAUCGGGAGGAACACCAGUGGCGAAGGCGGCUCGCUGGGCCGGACCUGACGCUGAGACGCGCAAGGCGCGGGAAGG